GAUAGAUAGCAACAUGUAGGGAUGUAGUAUGGAGUUCUCUCCAUACCUUUAUCCUCCACUAUCAAUAUGUACAUAAUUCAAUACUAUUAAUAAACAUUUAUUUCUAACUGCAACAAGACUGAUUCAUGGUGUCCAAGCAGAACACAUCACGGAUAGUGAGAACAGAACAGAUCAUGUAGCAGUGGGGAAUAAAAAUCUACACCCUCUCUAAAAGGCUGAAGAACCCUCAAGAAAAUGACACCAGCAAUGAUUCUGCCCCGAAACAACCUCAUUCAAGAAGCAAGAUGCUGAGAAAACUCACUUGGAAAGCUCCAGAGACACAAAAGCCAGGCAGUAGAAAAAAGGCCCAAGCAAAUACACUCAAGCAAAAGUGUCCACUGAAUCCCUGUGGAAGAUCAGCUUCAACAAAGCAAAGCCAGCAGCCAGCAGGAACCCCGAACCUACACAAUGGCCAGACCAACCCACCACGCAGGAGGAUACCACAGCACUCCCAGUGGUGAUGAAGCCGGAGCUGGAAUGAACUCCAGAGAAACCCCUGCCUCCACCAGCGACCAUGGUGUAGGCGGUAAAGAUGCCGACCAACACAGCCCCAACAACUAUCAACCAGCAUGCUGAAACCACAGAAUCAGCUGUAAUAGCUGAUUCACGCAAACAUAACUACACAACUACCAGGUGAGCUACCUUCCUACGCUUCUUCCAUCCACAGGACUGCUCUCCCACAGAAAGCUUCUAGACACCAGAAAAGAAGAAGAAGGAAAGCCAUCGACAACCUGAUGAACCCUGCUUUCAUCCACCCAGGAGUAAAUGAUCACCGCUCAUUACAACAAAUCACUGUUACAUCAACAGACCGACCAGGCCUGUUGCAGCAUCCGUCAAUGGAAGAAGUGUCUGAAGCCAUGCCUACAUCCAGAUACAAACUCGAAAGCACUGCCAAGAUCAAGAACCACUAGAGCCUACCACUCUCCCGAAUGGACAGCAAACGAGGCAUAGCAGGUGUAUAAGACCUCUAGGUCGCCCAAAUCUCCAAUUUCAAAGACUUGAAGUAAGAGGAGUAAGAACAUUGUUAAUGCAUGCUGUUAAUGUGAUAAUGUUAAUCAUGAAGUAGCUUAGAAUUAGAAUAGUUUAUAGUUGUAACACUAAAAUUAAGUACAUAAGACCUAUAGUGAUGUAAGACUUGAAGCAAACUGUAAGGAAACUAAUGUCAGUCUAUAACCAGUGGAUAAAGACUUGGGGUGGUGGUGUAGUAGAAUGAUCUCGUACCUAAAGUGUUAACAUGGGACUGAGUACAGUACCAACCACUCAGUGAUGUAAGAUGGCACAAGACCUAGAACUAAGGGCAGCCUAGAGAUAGGUAGCAAUAUGUAAGGCCCUAGUAUGGAGUCCUCUUCAUUCCUUUACCUGCUACUGUUACUGUACAAAGUUCAGUAAUGCUAAUAAAGACUUUUAAAAACUGCA